rnacentral:rRNA from 1 species
GACGAACGCUGGCGGCGUGCUUAACACAUGCAAGUCGAACGGAAAGGCCCUGCUUUUGUGGGGUGCUCGAGUGGCGAACGGGUGAGUAACACGUGAGUAACCUUCCCUUGACUUUGGGAUAACUUCAGGAAACUGGGGCUAAUACCGGAUAGGAGCUCCUGCUGCAUGGUGGGGGUUGGAAAGUUUCGGCGGUUGGGGAUGGACUCGCGGCUUAUCAGCUUGUUGGUGGGGGAGUGGUUUACCAAGGCUUUGACGGGUAGCCGGCCUGAGAGGGUGACCGGCCACAUGGGGCCUGCGAGACGGCGCAGACUGCUACGGGGGGCAGCAGGGGGGAAUAUGGCACAACGGGCGGAAGCCUGAGGCAGCAACGCCGGGUGCGGGAUGACGGCUUUCGGGUUGAAAACCGCUUUGGCCUGUGACGAAGCGGGGGUGACGGUAAUGGGUAAAGAAGCACCGGCUAACUACGUG